rnacentral:rRNA from 2 species
UAACGACUCUCGGCAACGGAUAUCUCGGCUCUCGCAUCGAUGAAGAACGUAGCGAAAUGCGAUACUUGGUGUGAAUUGCAGAAUCCCGUGAACCAUCGAGUCUUUGAACGCAAGUUGCGCCCGAAGCCAUCAGGCCGAGGGCACGCCUGCCUGGGCGUCACA